AGCACAGAUGAAGAGGCUCUGGCUCUUGCUGCUGCUUUCAUGGCCUCGUUUGAAUCCAGUUUUGCAAGCUUCCAUGCGCUAAUGCGCACGGGACGUUUAGGAUAAUGUUUGGCUCUUUCAGUCGGGUUCAUGCUAUCAGGAUCAACAGUUGAAGGCACUCGUCCAGGUUGCAGUAAUACUGGACAGAAUUCAUACCUGGUCAAUAAAUAUGCGUGGUGGAGUGCACCACGCACCUUUGUAGUGCCGUGCAAAUGAGCUCCCACUGAAAGCAGUCGGUGCAGAACUCAUGGGAGAUGAUGGCAGGCUUUGUUGUUCAUCAUUGACAGAAGGACCAGGAGGUUCACUCUGAGCCCUCAUUGCCACAACAUAUUCAUAAGUUGUGAUGCCCUGCAAAAAACACCAAAUCCACAAGACACAAGUUUCUCAGCAGUUAAAAGAAUAUAAACAUUGAUAGAAAUAUUAAUAUUGUUUUGAUUAUUUUACAUACCCAAGCAAGGCUCACAGCCAUAAGGCACAGAAAUGUGACAUAGUUUUUUCUUCCAACACAAUUGUUCAGCCACUGCAUCAGAAACACCAAAACAACAUCAGAAUAGCCAUGUCAACAAACUAAAGUGAAAGGGCAAAAGGACAAGUGAAGUUUAUGAAACAGAAGCUUUAACAUAAACCUACCCGGCAAUGAUGAUCAAAACCAUCAACACAUUUGUCACAACUCCGACAAUGAUGGGGCUGUGGAUAAGUACCUCUGCAUUGCAAAGGGUGCAAAAGAGUGCCUCUUCAUCAUAAUCUUCUUGUUGGUAAGCUUCGUCAUCUUUGCGACAAUCCUCUUUCACAAAUAUAGCACAACACAAACAACCAGCUCCUAAACAUGAUUUGUGCUUUUGGACAUCCUCAUAGGUUCUCGAUUCUGAUUUGCCCGUUUCGUCUUGUGUGUCUAAUUUUGCUUUUGAGCAAAACAAGAUGAUUUGCUACAUUAGUAUAACAUGUGCCUACUACUACAUGAAUUACAUCAAAGUUCCAAGUAUGAGCAGAUACCUUCUGACUUAUAGGUUAGAGCACCGUUGACAGUAAUCAUGAUUCCAGGGUCAGCAGGAUCAAUAGCAGUACAUCUUACAUAUAGAAUCAGAAGAACAUUACCAGAAAACUAUAAACACCUAUUGCGAUAAAUUGAUACAAGUCCUUCCCAAGAAAUGGUGAAAAGAAAGCAUAGAAUUCUAUACACAACAAGAAGAACACCGUUAUAGCUACCACCUGCAA
rnacentral:sRNA from 1 species